CGUCGGGCCCAUUCGCAGACGGGAAACAGCACUUCUCCAGUCAGCAAAGCACCAAGGAGCAUGUUGGCCAGUUUGCAGACUGGGAAGCCCAGCCCCUCCCCCACCCCUUGGCUGCAACUUGCCUUGCAGCAGCCAAAGAGAAGGAAUCAGGCUCCACAUGGAGCUGGCUCGGGUCCCUUUGAUCCUUUUGCCUCCCCUGUAAAGCAAGCAGUGGGAUUGGGGGGAAAGGAAGAAGGGGGAAAGGAGCGAGGGAGUGUGGGGAGAAGCCAAGCCACUGUGACCCACUCACUGCCUUCCCAUUUUAAGCAACUCCUGAAAAACAUUGUGGGACAUUGAACACCAUGAGAAAACUCCUCCCAGCAGAGAGUUCUUAAUGAUUGGGAAAUCUGGUUUUAAUGAUCUGGGAAUGUAUAAUCAUGUAUAUUUUUUCCAUCCCUAGAUAAUUGUUGCUAGACUAUACUUAUUCAGCAGAUAUUUCUGUUUGUAUCAGUUUAAAUUGGUCAAAUGCACUAGAUGCCAAUGCACCACAAGUGACACAGUUAGAUCAGGGACUGCUCCAAACAUAUUUUAGAGGAAAUACAAAUACAUCUGAAGAUACUGAACCCUAUUUUCAUAAAUAGAUAUCCAUCC
rnacentral:lncRNA from 11 species